rnacentral:rRNA from 1 species
AUGGUUGCCUGCGAUUUUGACUUGAAGUUUGUGCAUAUACAUCCUGGUUGGGAGGGAUCAGCUUCAGAUGCAAGAGUUCUAAAUGAUGCACUUAACCAUGGUUUUGAAGUUCCCGAUGGUAAAUUUUAUCUCGUGGAUGCUGGUUAUGCAAACACACCACAGUUUCUUGCUCCAUACCGUGGUACUAGGUAUCAUUUAAACGAACAAGGGAGAGUUCGUCAAAGGCCACAAAAUCACAGGGAACUAUUUAAUCUUCGACAUGCUCAACUUCGGAAUCAUGUUGAGAGAAUUAUCGGCAUAUGGAAAAUGAGAUUUCCUAUACUGAAAGUUACUUCACAUUAUCCAAAAGAAAAACAGCUUGACAUAACCGUUGCUUGUGCUGUUCUACAUAACUUCAUACGCCUACACAAUGGAGAUAUGACUUGGCCUAGUGACGAUACAAUGGAUAUUGAUCACGAGUUGAUUAUUGAUGUGCCAAAUGGAGACCAUAACUAUCAUGAAGACAUACGUGCUUUCAACUACUCAAGGGAAGCAGGAAAUCAAAUGCGAGAUAAUAUAGCAAAUCAUAUGUGGGAGCAGUAUGUAUCACAGAGAAGAUAG